GCCAUGCAUGUCUAAGUAUAAACGAUUUAAUCGUGAAACCGCGAAUGGCUCAUUAUAACAGCUAUAAUUUACUUGAUCUUGACACAAUCCUACUUGGAUAACUGUGGUAAUUCUAGAGCUAAUACAUGCAUUAAAGCUCUGACCUCACGGGAAGAGUGCAUUUAUUAGAACAAAACCAAUCGGCUUCGGCUGUUUCUGGUUGACUCAUAGUAACUGAGCUGAUCGCAUGGUCUUGCACCGGCGACGUGUCUUUCAAGUAUCUGCCGUAUCAACUUUCGAUGGUAGUGUAUCUGACUACCAUGGUGAUCACGCGUAACGGAGAAUAAGGGUUCGGCUCCGGAGAGUUCGCCUGAGAAAUCGCGAACACAUCUAAGGAAGGCAGCAGGCGCGAAAAUUACCCACUCUCAGCACGAGGAGGUAGUGACGAAAAAUAACGAGACCGUUCUCUUAUGAGGCCGGUCAUCGGAAUGGGUACAAUUUAAACCCUUAACGAG
rnacentral:rRNA from 1 species